GAUUCCUGAGUAACGGCGAGCGAAAAGGGAAGAGCCCAGCGCCGAAGCCCGCUCUCGAGAGGGAGCCGGGCAAUGUGGCGUUUAGGAGUGAGCGUGCCGGCGGUCGACUCUGCAGCAAGUCCCCCUGACAGGGGCUGUUACCCAGAGUGGGUGCGAGGCCCAUAGCUGCUAGGUCUCCGUCGGAUGCGAUCUCCUUGGAGUCGGGUUGCUUGGGAGUGCAGCCCUAAUCGGGUGGUAAACUCCACCUAAGGCUAAAUACCGCCGUGAGACCGAUAGCAAACAAGUACCGUGAGGGAAAGUUGCAAAGAACUUUGAAGAGAGAGUUCAAGAGUACGUGAAACUGCUCAGAGGCAAACGGGUGGGNCCCUCGNAAAUCCUGUGGCGGGAGGANUUCAGUUCUGCCGGGCGGACUUUCGGUCNGGAGAUUCGAAAAGUGCGGNUUCCGNCGGAGGCGGCCCGCUCCGACUGANGAGAUUCGCACGGUCGAACGCAUUUGUUUCCCGCCCGNAAGGACCCCGCAACCGGUUCGGANAACGGCCUUAAGGGCGAGCGACGGCAGUUGGCCGGUGGACCGCGCACGCGGUUCGUCGGCUGUUAGCCGGCUCGUCGCACGGCUCGUGGCCGGACCGUGGUGUCGCAAGGCCCNUCUUGGGCCCUUUUCACCUCCNUCCGUUCGCGGAACGCCGAGUCGANGAGCGGCAGGGGUUCGCACUUCUGCGGGNCGCACGGACUGACUCCGUNNCCUGCGGUCGCGAUGNGNCCUCGUUGGCUGCUCCGAGCUCGUCGGAGGUUCACGGACCAAGGAGUCUAACAUGUGUGCGAGUCAAUGGGUCUCGAAUAAGCCCAGAGGCGCAAUGAAAGCAAAGGUCGGACUCGACGCCGACUGUGUUGGGAUCCUCCCUCCUUCGCGGGGGAGGCGCACCAACGACCCGUCCUUUUCCAUUUAUGGAUUGGGCGGAGUUUGAGCAUACACGUUGGGACCCGAAAGAUGGUGAACUAUGCCCGGGCAGGACGAGGCCAGAGGAAACUCUGGUGGAGGUCCGCAGCGNUUCUGACGUGCAAAUCGAUCGUCAGACCCGGGUAUAGGGGCAGGAUAGCUGGCGCUCGGAGAACUCAGUCUCAUCCGGUAAAGCGAAUGAUUAGAGGCCUUGGGGCCGAAACGACCUCAACCUAUUCUCAAACUUUAAAUGGGUGAGUAGUCCGCCUUGCAUGACUGAAGGCCGGACGCAUGGAUGAGAGUGCCCAGUGGGCCACUUUUUGGUAAGCAGAACUGGCGCUGUGGGAUGAACCAAACGUCGGGUUACGGCAUCCGAUGCGAGACGCUCAUGAGACCCCAUGAAAGGUGUUGGUUGCUCCAGACAGCAGGACGGUGGUCAUGGAAGUCGAAAUCCGCUAAGGAGUGUGUAACAACUCACCUGCCGAAGCAACUAGCCCUGAAAAUGGACGAUGCUUCAGCGUCGAGCCCAUACCCGACCGCCACCCGAGAGGUCCCUCYCAUGAGAGGAUUAGCGGGUGGUGAGUAGGAGGGUCGCGGUGGCGAGCGUCGAAGGUGCCGGGCGUGAGCCCGCCUGGAGCCGCCACCGGUGCAGAUCUUGGUGGUAGUAGCAAAUACUCAAGUGAGAACCUUGAGGACUGAAGUUGGAGAAGGGUUCCAUGUGAACAGCAGUUGAACAUGGGUCAGUCGGCCCUAAGGGAUCGGAGAAAUCCGUUCCGAAGCGAGACCUUGAGAAUUUAGCAUCUGCAUGACCGCAGAAGUGUGAGUUCGUCUCGCUGCCGACCGAAAGGGAAUGGGGUCAAUAUUCCCCAACCCGGACACGGAGAUAGACCCCUCGGGGUCAAGUGCGGUAACGCAACCGAACUCGGAGACGUCGACGGAGGACCCGGGGAAGAGUUGUCUUUUCUUUGUAAGGGUUCGUGUCCCUGGAAUCGGCUCGUCCGGAGAUAGGGACGCUGUUCCCGUAAAAGCACCGCGGCUCUUGCGGUGUCCGGUGCGCCUCUGUCGGCCCUUGCAAAUCCGAGGGAGAGAGUGUGAUUUUCGUGCCGGUCCGUACCCAUAUCCGCAGCAGGUCUCC
rnacentral:rRNA from 1 species